AUGAACCAUCAAGGUCAACAAUUCAAGGCGUUGGUCUUUGAGUUCAUGCCCAAUGGUAACUUGGAUGGUUGGCUUCAUCCAAAAUCACAACAACCAACAAUAAACAACACACUCAGCCUUGUCCAGAGGCUUCACAUUGCUGUCGAUAUUGUGGAUGCAGUAGAAUAUUUGCACAACUACUGUCAGCCAUUGGUAAUACACUGUGAUCUUAAGCCAAGCAACAUUCUUCUCGCUGAAGACCUGAGUGCCCAAGUAAGGGGAUGCAGACUAUAUAUGACUCAACUAUACUUAGAGGUUCCAUAG
rnacentral:rRNA from 1 species